rnacentral:rRNA from 1 species
UACGUAGGGUGCAAGCGUUGUCCGGAAUUAUUGGGCGUAAAGAGCUCGUAGGCGGUUUGUCGCGUCUGCCGUGAAAGUCCGGGGGCUCAACUCCGGAUCUGCGGUGGGUACGGGCAGACUAGAGUGAUGUAGGGGGAGACUGGAAUUCCUGGUGUAGCGGUGGAAAUGCGCAGAUAUCAGGAGGAACACCGGUGGCGAAGGCGGGGUCUCUGGGCCAUACUGACGUGAGGAGCGAAAGCGUGGGGGAGCGAACAGGAUUAGAACUACGAGUCA